UCCCUGCUGGCUCAGUAGUAAAGAGUCUGCCUUCAAAGCAGAAGACUCGAGUUUGAUCCCUGGGUCGGGAU
rnacentral:tRNA from 1 species